GACGAACGCUGGCGGCGUGCCUAAUACAUGCAAGUCGAGCGAAUGGAUUAAGAGCUUGCUCUUAUGAAGUUAGCGGCGGACGGGUGAGUAACACGUGGGUAACCUGCCCAUAAGACUGGGAUAACUCCGGGAAACCGGGGCUAAUACCGGAUAACAUUUUGAAACGCAUGGUUCGAAAUUGAAAGGCGGAUUCGGCUGUCACUUAUGGAUGGACCCGGGUCGCAUUAGCUAGUUGGUGAGGUAACGGAUCACCAAGGCAACGAUGCGUAGCCGACCUGAGAGGGUGAUCGGCCACACUGGGACUGAGACACGGCCCAGACUCCUACGGGAGGCAGCAGUAGGGAAUCUUCCGCAAUGGACGAAAGUCUGACGGAGCAACGCCGCGUGAGUGAUGAAGGCUUUCGGGUCGUAAAACUCUGUUGUUAGGGAAGAACAAGUGCUAGUUGAAUAAGCUGGCACCUUGACGGUACCUAACCAGAAAGCCACGGCUAACUACGUGCCAGCAGCCGCGGUAA
rnacentral:rRNA from 1 species